AAUGGUAUUUAUUAUAGACAGAAAUACUCUCUUUAGGUUCAGUGACACUUAUGUUGAUAGACCCGAAAUCGGAGAGUUAAAAUAGUGUUUCUUACCCUCGUAUUCUACAAAUCCUUCUAUCUUUCCCCCUAUCUCCCAGGCUACAUUUCUCCUGACUAAGGCUGUUGUAAAGGCUCUGGUUGCCAGUGGAGCUCCUAAACGCUCCAUCAUUGCUGUGGGCAGCAUUGUGGGUGGGCAAUAUUGAACAGGUGAACUACUCGCCUGUUCUACACAGGCUUCCAAAGCAGUUGUGGAGGACCAGAACUGCAGCCAACUAGCUGAGCAGCUUACGUCCAUGGUGCCCCUGGGGAGGAUGGGAGAGCCUGCAGAGAGGAAGCUGAUGGAUCCUAACACACAUUCCCAGUAGAGGACUCUGGCUACAUCACUGGAACCAGUGUUGAAGUAGCAGAGGCCUUUUCAUUGGCUGAGACAACUUUCCGUCAUCCUCAUGAAGAUCCCAUCUAGGUCCAGUAAUUGUAUAUGUAUUCAACGUUCACACUGUGCCUUUGUGUGUGAUAAUAAUACAACCGAUUGGGGAUCAAUCUUGUUUUGUAAAUCUAGUCAAUAUCUUAGUGUAAAUGUGAUUGUGCAAUAAAUUAAAACCUGUGUAACUUUUGUGGCGAGAGUUCACGAGACAGAGUUGAGUGCUUUCCCAAUUUAACCGAGUUACGUCUCUUAACCCUCUACAUUUAUGUGCGGUUACUAUAAUUUUAAAACUUAUAACAGUCAUUACUAACACGGUUGGAUUUAGAUGUUUGAAAACAGGAAAGACCGACGCCACACGUACAAAGACACACGAAUACAGUGUGCACAC